UACGUGAGGGUGCAAGCGUUGUCCGGAAUUAUUGGGCGUAAAGGAGCUACGUAGGCGGUGUGUCGCGUCGGCCGUGAAAACCUGCAGCUUAACUGUGGGCUUGCGGUCGAUACGGGCAUCACUGGAGUUCGGCAGGGGAGACUGGAAUUCCUGGUGUAGCGGUGAAAUGCGCAGAUAUCAGGAGGAACACCGGUGGCGAAGGCGGGUCUCUGGGCCGAUACUGACGUGAGGAGCGAAAGCGUGGGGAGCGAACAGG
rnacentral:rRNA from 1 species